rnacentral:sRNA from 1 species
UGUCUCUUCAGUUGCUUGUCACCGUCGGAGUCUCCGCCGUUGUUUACUUCGUCCGUCCGAUCCCCGAGUUCAUCACCGAGACUCACCGUGGCCUUGCCGUCUUUUUCGUCAUCCUCCUCCUUCCUCUCCUCCGUUACGUCUCCUUUCACAUACUUUUGUUUAUCCAUUCAUUUCUAGGUUCCAUCAUCGUCGCUUAGGG